UACGGGGGGUGCGAGCGUUGUCCGGAAUCAUUGGGCGUAAAGAGUUCGUAGGCGGUUUUCAAAGUCUGGUGUUAAAGGCAAAGGCUCAACCUUUGUAUGGCACUGGAUACUUGGAGACUGGAAUGCGGUAGAGGUAAAGGGAAUUUCUGGUGUAGCGGUGAAAUGCUUAGAUAUCAGGAAGAACAUCGGUGGCGUAAGCGCUUUACUGGGCCGUAAUUGACGCUGAGGAACGAAAGCCGGGGUAGCAAAU
rnacentral:rRNA from 1 species